rfam:Rhodanobacter sp. FW510-R10 contig5, whole genome shotgun sequence.
GCGGGAAUAGCUCAGUUGGUAGAGCACGACCUUGCCAAGGUCGGGGUCGCGAGUUCGAGU